rnacentral:rRNA from 1 species
UUUCUUUUGAAGUUUUUCCCGUAUGUUACCAGUCUUGCCUGAUCUUGGAAGUUAGCAGGGUCAGCCUGGUUAGUACUUGGUUAGGAGACUGCUUGAGUGUUGGGUGCUGCAGGCGUAAGAAAC